UACGUAGGGUGCAAGCGUUAAUCGGAAUUACUGGGCGUAAAGCGUGCGCAGGCGGUUGCGCAAGACAGAUGUGAAAUCCCCGGGCUCAACCUGGGAAUUGCAUUUGUGACUGCACGGCUAGAGUGUGUCAGAGGGGGGUAGAAUUCCACGUGUAGCAGUGAAAUGCGUAGAGAUGUGGAGGAAUACCGAUGGCGAAGGCAGCCCCCUGGGAUAACACUGACGCUCAUGCACGAAAGCGUGGGGAGCAAACAGG
rnacentral:rRNA from 1 species